GCCCAGUUCUCGUUGCAUCCUGGGAGUUGUAGUUUUCCCCAUCCGUAUUCUCCACUUAUUCAGUGCCUCUUGUCACCGAAUGGAUUUCUAGUUCCGGGUGCGCUUUUCUCCACCAUCAAUUGACGCAACAAAAGAGAAACGACAUUUCGCACAAGGAACUAUGGGAAUAAGCUUUACUUUAAAUUUCGCUCUCCCAGCUCAACUCGUCCAUGAGAAACACCUCCUGCUCUCUUCCUGUUCUGACUAAACAGUUGACCACCCAACUUUUCCUUCUUGGUUUGGAUGAAAAACCAUCUAAAAAACGAAGAUGAAUUUCCAACCCAGUAUGCAGUGCCCAAGAUUGUAGAAGAGGAGAGCUCUGCAUUUGCAAUGUUCUUCCCAUUAAAGUUAUAAAAAUAAUGUAAUUUUCAUGCAUGUUUUAUGUUGCCAGUCUCUGCUUUUUACUGCUAGAUAGCAGAUGAUCAUGUAGGUACAAGUCAACAGUAAAAUACCCUAUUUAACUGCAACAUUCCAGAAAAAGCCCAUUCAA